UUAUAAGAGACAGCAGCAGCCGCGGUAAAACAGAGGGUGCGAGCGUUAAUCGGAUUUACUGGGCGUAAAGCGUGCGUAGGCGGCUUCUUUAGUCGGAUGUGAAAUCCCUGAGCUUAACUUAGGAAUUGCAUUCGAUACUGGGAAGCUAGAGUAUGGGAGAGGAUGGUAGAAUUCCAGGUGUAGCGGUGAAAUGCGUAGAGAUCUGGAGGAAUACCGAUGGCGAAGGCAGCCAUCUGGCCUAAUACUGACGCUGAGGUACGAAAGCAUGGGGAGCAAACAGGAUUAGAUACCCCAGUAGUCCCUGUCUCUUAUAC
rnacentral:rRNA from 1 species